rnacentral:rRNA from 1 species
AUUGAACGCUGGCGGCAGGCCUAACACAUGCAAGUCGAGCGGGGUUUUCGGACCUAGCGGCGGACGGGUGAGUAAUGCGUAGGAAGCUACCCGAUAGAGGGGGAUACCAGUUGGAAACGACUGUUAAUACCGCAUAAUGUCUACGGACCAAAGUGUGGGACCUUCGGGCCACAUGCUAUCGGAUGCGCCUACGUGGGAUUAGCUAGUUGGUGGGGUAAUGGCUCACCAAGGCGACGAUCCCUAGCUGGUUUGAGAGGAUGAUCAGCCACACUGGAACGGAGACACGGUCCAGACUCCGACGGGAGGCAGCAGUGGGGAAUAUUGGACAAUGGGCGCAAGCCUGAUCCAGCCAUGCCGCGUGUGUGAAGAAGGCCUUCGGGUUGUAAAGCACUUUCAGUAGGGAGGAAGGGUGUUGUGUUAAUAGCACAGCAUUUUGACGUUACCUACAGAAGAAGCACCGGCUAACUCUGUGCCAGCCGCAGCCGUAAUAC